CGGCAGCGCUUUUCCUUACGAACUCUAUUUCCCAGAGGUCAUCGCGGGACGACGGCCUAUGGUGCCCGAGAUGGGCCAAUAGCCCUAAGGCUGGAGAAAGCCGUCCUGCUGGGAGCCUCCAGAAGGCUGCCGCCGCGUCUUUUCCGCCUCUCUCACCGCCUGUCCCGUCGAGCGCGCUUUUCGGGAAAAGAUUAUUAUUUUACUCUGAUGCUUUCGCAAAAGUGUUUCAUCUUCAGAGAGAUUCAUAGAAUGGACUUUGCUGGUAAUUUUAAGAUCAUAAAACUGAACCGGGUAAGAAUCACCAGAACUAAUGGUCAAACUGACCUGCUCAAACUGACUUGCUAAAUCCUGGACUAGAAAGCCAAUUAAAUCAGGAACUCAAUGCAAAGAAAAUGGAGCUCAGGACAGAAAGGGGAUCUACCUAUGGCCCUUGGAAAUCACAAGAAAGACUGCAAACUCAAAAGGUUUAUGGGAUACCGCACCUGUUUCUGGUUAUCUCUGAAGCCAUCGGAAGCCUCCUUCAGUCCAACCACUGCCACCACAUCUGUUAAACAAUAAAAAUGCAACCAAGUAA